rnacentral:ncRNA from 1 species
UCCUUCGGGGUCGGGUGAAAUUCCCAAUCGACGGUGUUGAGAUUGUAUCUCUAAGCCCGUGAGCCACUUUUAGUGUGCAGGAUUUGGUGCAAGUCCAAAGCCGACAGUUAUAGUCUGGAUGGGAGAAGGA